CCUACGGGUGGCAGCAGUGGGGAAUAUUGCACAAUGGGGGAAACCCUGAUGCAGCGACGCCGCGUGAGUGAAGAAGUAUUUCGGUAUGUAAAGCUCUAUCAGCAGGGAAGAAAAUGACGGUACCUGACUAAGAAGCCCCGGCUAACUACGUGCCAGCAGCCGCGGUACAACGUAGGGGGCAAGCGUAAUCCGGAUUUAAUGGGUGUGAAGGGAGCGUAGACGGCCAGACAAGUCAGAAGUGAAAGCCCAGGGCGCAACCCUGGGACUGCUGUUGAAACUGCCGGGCUGGAGUGCAGGAGAGGUAAGCGGAAUUCCUAGUGUAGCGGUGAAAUGCGUAGAUAUUAGGAGGAACACCAGUGGCGAAGGCGGCUUACUGGACUGUAACUGACGUUGAGGCUCGAAAGCGUGGGGAGCAAACAGGAUUAGAUACCCGUGUAGUC
rnacentral:rRNA from 1 species